ACUAGCCCUGCCCCCUACGGUGACGUCACCACACCCGCCCCUCCCACGCUUGACCAAGGUUAGUUCUCUUUGUCUCUGGAGAGAGAAGGGGAGGUUUGAGUUCCCUAUUCCUUGGAGUCUGGACAGGGGACUGAGCAUCUGGAGAUCUGCCUGCCCCUAACCCCCAUCCCCUCCACCCCCUCCCAUCCCGGAAGUUCCUGUACUUUCCUGUGUGGGUGUGUAUGAGGGGCCCAGUCAAGGGCUUUCUACUCUGAGGCCUCAGACACUUGCAGCUGCUCACUGUACUGGAGUCGCCUAGCCUAGUUGGAACUGUUGGGUAGCAGAUAUCCCAGCUGGCAGAUUGCCUUCUGCAUUGAAGCUGGGGUCUUUACAACUGGGAUGCUAUGCCACUAGCUUGCUGAGCUAGGGCUGAGGGUCCUCACCUGCUGAUCUCUGCUGUAUCUAAGAACCUUUUGCUGGCUUGCCCACACACCCUCUGUGCUGAGCUGUGCUUCCCUUUUACCCAGGUUUUGCAGCUCCAGAAUCCAUCGAGAGGCUUGAUUUAAUGUUGUUUCUGAGGGAAAUUUGGGAGAGCUCAGGCAGCUUCUUUGUCGUUCAUUAGUACUGGAUACACUGGCCCUGAUUCAAAGUGGAGUAAGGUUGUCAUCUAAGGGAUGACUUGCAAACUCUCCUGAAGGGACAGGGCUCAUACCUUGGCAACCCCAGUCACUGGCUCAACAAACUUCUUGAAGAAGUCAGCUAAUACAAGACAAGAGCGCCCAGAGACUCUCUGCCUCAGUCUUUCCAGGAACUCCAUUUUGGCAAGGUGCUCUGCCCAGCCAAUCUUCAUUCCUGUCUCGGUUGUGUUUCUGGUUUUCAGACCUCUACACCAUGCCUCAGCUUCAGUCACGUCCUAGAAGUUUGAGCUGCAUCUGGGGUUUCCUCCUACUGGAACAUUCAUGCAACCCUAUUGGCUGUUCACUCUGGGAUAUGCCAACCACUUGCUGGCCCCUUUAUCCACUUGUUGAGUUAAUUCAGGGGCCCCCAUUUUAUGUGAGAGGCAGAGGCUGGCCAACCUUCACUUCCUUCUAGGAUGUACUUCUGAAUGUAUAGAUAGAAUCAUCAUGCCUCAGCUGGAGUCUCACCUCUUCCACCUAACAUUUGUUAUUGUUGUUGAAAUUUUUCAGUAGUGUCCAACUGUGCGUGACCCCAUUUGAAGUUUUCUUGACAAAGACAGUGUAGUUGUGUGCCAUUUCCUUCUCCAGCUCAUUUUCUACAUUAAGAAACUGAGGCAAACAAAGUUAAGUGACAUGCCCAGGGUGAAACAGCUAGUAAGUGUCUGAGGCCAGAUUUGAAAUCAGGAAGAUGGCUCUUCCUGACUUCAAGCUUGGCACCUGAUCCAUUGCAACCCCCAGCAGCCCCUCCAUCUGAAAUUACCUUCUAUUUAAACUAUAUAUCAUCUGUCUGUACAUAAUUAUUGUAUAUUGGCUCUUCCAUUAAAAUAUGAGCCCCUUGAAGAGUUUAUGACCAAAAAAGAGAUAGAGAGGACCACAGGAAAUAAAAUUGCAAUUUUGAUUACAUGAAAUAAAAAUGUUUUUAUGCAAACAAAUCUAACAGCCAAAAUUAGAAGGAAAACAGGAAACGGAGGUAAAUUUCUAAAAACCUGAGGUUUUCUGACAAUUGAUAAAUGACCAAAGGAUAUGAACAGUUUUCAGACACCGUAAUCAAAACUAUUAUAGUCAUAUGAAAAUAUGCUCUAAAUUACUAACAAUUAGAGAAGUGCAACUUGGAGAUGCCAUCUUAUACCUAUCAGAUUGACUAAUACGAUUGAAAAGAAAAAAAUAGUAAGUGUUGUGAGUGGAUGUGGGAAAACAGCACUGUUGGAGUUAACUGUGAACUGAUUCAACCAUUCUGGAGAGAAGUUUUGAAUGAUGUCCAAAGGGCUAGAAAAGCACACAUGCCCUUUGACCCCAAAAUACCAUUACUAGCUCUGUCUCCUAAAGAGAUAAAAAACAAAAAGAAAAGGGACACCUAUAUACAUAGUUACAGAGCUCUUAUAGUAGUGGAAAAGAAUUAAAAAUUGAGGGGAUGUUCAUCCACUGAGGAAUAGCUGAACAAGUUGUGGUAUAUGAUUGUAAUGGAAUGCUAUUGUACCAUAAAAAGUGAUGAGAAGGAUACUUUCAGAAAAACCU